GUAAAAAUACCUCCAAAUAAGGAAGAGGAACAGGCUAUGACCUAAUGCUUGCUUGGACUAGUAUAAGCAUGCCAGGGCAAAUAUUUAGGCUAAAUUGUGGGAGCUAAGAACACAAAGUACAUUGAUUUCUUUAUUACGGCUAGCAGAUAUCUGAGAAUGUUAGCACAGGUCUUUGAAUAAAUUUUGCUUCUAAGAGAAGUUACUAUUUAUUCCUAAUUAGACAGGGAGGAAAGUCUUUUUGAAGAGGAACCUCUACUUUACUUUUUACAUGCCAUUUGCUUCCACACUUGGUUUCACUUAGCCUUUUUAUUUUUUGUUUUCUGCUCUAUUAGUAAAACUGAAAAUUCUCUAAAAAUUUAAAAUGUGCAUUACAAAUUGAAGAUCAUGUAUAGUCAACAUUACUGUUGAAGAUCUCUUAAAUUGCCCAUAAGGCACAAUAUAUUGCAUUUAUGAGCCACCUUGGAGGCUGACAUUCUGUCUCUCAGUAAGUCCAACCUAGAGGAUUUUCCUUGCAGCAUUGGAACAGAUGGCUCAUCCUUCUAUUGAGCCCCAGAGGAAGUCAUUGGCUUGCAUGUAGGACUUCUAGACUUGGACUCAGACUGCUAGAUGCCCACACUAUGAGAGGCACCUGGAAACAGACCAACUGAGAGAAUGACACGUUUGUGUCUUCUAUAUUCUGCUUACUUUGGGCAUUAAUUUGCUUAGUCAAAUGAUGCUUAUACUUCCCUCUCUCAAGCCUUCUUCAGUUCAUAUGAAUUAAAUGUGUGUACAUUCUAUUUCUAGGGUAAAAAAGUAUUAAAUGAUGAAAGACAACUAGAAUAUCCACAAUUUUUAAAAAACUCUUUAGAAAAGAAGAAAAAGAAGAGCAACCUACAGAGGUCACUUGCCCAGAUCUUAUAGCACAUCUUGCUGGAGGAAGACAAUAAAGUAGAUCAUAGGGCCAGCAAACUUAAUGUGCAUCUGUUUGUUAAUUUACUUCCUUAAGAGUGGAUUAAGUUCAGUAUGGCCGCCCCAGGAUUCUGCUAGGAGGGUUUUCCUUAUUUGUAUCCAACAGGGCCAUCCCUGAGUAUGAUGAUUAAUGUUAUGUGUCAACUUGACUAGGCUAAGGAAUACUCAAAUAGCUGGUAACACAUUAUUUCUGGGUGUGUCUGUGAGGAUGUUUCUGGAAGAGAUUAGCACUUGAAUCAGUAGAUUAAGUAGAGAUCACCCUCACCAACAUGGGUGAGUGUCAUUCAAUCCAUUGAGGACCUGGAUAGAACAAAAAGGUGAAGGAAGGGUGCAUUUGUUCUCUCUGCUUGAGGUGGGACAUCCAUCUUCUUCCACCCUCAGACAGCUGUGCUCCUGAUUCUCAGGCCUCGGGACCCAGACCAGGAUUUCCAUCAGCUCCCCUGGCUCGCAGGCCUUCUGACUUCUGACUCACCAUCAGCUCUCCUGGAUCCAGCUUGCCAAUGGCAGAUCGUGGGACUCCUUGCCCUCUAAUCGCAUGAAACAAUGCCCACAAGAGAAAAUAAAAGCAGUCAGAGGAGAAUGGAGAAUUUCCCCUAUUCCCCAGCAUGUGGAGCCAUGGACUCUGCCUUCUCCCAGUCAAGAUGGGGCAGGUCUCACUAUGUUGCCCAUUCUGGUCUUGAACUCUUGGACUCAAGCAAUCCUCCCACCUCGGACUUCCAAAGUGCUGGAAUCACAGGCUUGAGAUACCAUGCCCAGCCAAUUUAUUGUGAUGGUGAGCUCCUUAGAGGGAAGUAUAGUACAUAUUUCCUCCAUGUCUCCAGUACCCAACACAGUGCCUGACGUUGAGAGGGCUCUUAAUAAGUGUUUGUGAAAGACUGGUAGAGCAAUGCCCUAUGAAACAAGAAGCUGGAUAACACUGCUUAGGACUCAGAGGAGAGAGGAGUGUGGUCUACACUGCACAUCUCUGCCAAGCCUGGCACGGGAUUUGAAGUUCCACACCACUGAGCCAAACACAUCCAGACCCUCUUCCAACCCGGGGAUCUGGUGGUAAGCAAAAUACUAUUCCAGCAAGUGAUGCCCCCAGUCUCCUAAGGAUAUAAGAAACAGGAAGUUGUGUUUGGCUGCGGACAAACUCUCUCAGUGCCCCUGGGACUUACAAGAUGUUUGGAAUGAGGAACGGCAGCUCUCCCAAUGCGAGCUCAGCGGAGGCCCCCAGAAAAACGUGGGGAGGAGAGUUUUCCCCAUAAGACAGACUGUCCUUCAGCCCCGGCCACCAAAGAGGAGUAACCCGGGCCUGCUGUUCUCUGGGACUGAAUGCGGCUGCAUCCUUCCCUUCCUCUGCUUCCUGUCCCGAUCUGGUUUCUGAGUCCCUGGGCUGCAGCUGUUGAAUUUCCAGACACAAACAAGUAUGCGUUCUGAGAGCCUCGCCGAGCCCACACAACCGGGAGAGCCAAGCUGGAUUCCAUUCUGCUUUGCACAUCAGCAGCUCUGCUGCCAGCUGAACUCCAGGGCAAAAGCUGUGCCUGGUAAUGAUGCAGGCAGCAGGGAUGGCACAGCUGGCCUGGCUUAGGCCGUUAAGGGGGACACGCUUGGCCUUAUUUGGGGGAGAGCGAGAAAUGGAAGGCGAUGAAGAGUUGCGGAAGCAUACAUCAGCCUCCACAAAACUGGUGCACAGCAGGGAAACAAUCUGGUUUUGCUAGUCAUCAACAACAUGCCUGUGUGUGUGCCUGUUUAUGCUUAGGUAAGCCCAGCCUCCCACUCGCUGAAAAGAGUAGGCAGACAAGAAGGAGUGACCAACUCUGAGUCAGCUGUCAUCGUGUAGAGAGCAGCUAAGGGGAACAGUGGGGCUGGAAUCUCAUGGCCUUGCCUAGUGCCCCUACAGCAUCCUCUCUGCCCAUGGUGCCAGAUAUCUGAAUGGGAGGACAAAGGGGGCACAGGUGGUGAAAAAAACCAAGAUGCACAUUUGGGUAUUUUCCUUCUUUUGCUAGAAUGUCAUUUCUUGAUGUCUGUUUCUUGUCACCCAUUUGUGAUCAGGGACUAAGUAAGUUCCCUCUGCACCAGACCAGGUGGAAGACUGAGCCAGAGUUCCUCUGAGCCACAGGAGAGAUGAGGAGCUAUGGAGCGGAGUAGGGGCUGAGGAUCUGGUGCCCCCAGCUAAACUAAAAGGAGGCAGGCAGCAUGUAAGAGGAUGAUGGGGUAGCUCACAGAGAGGAAGGGGAUAUUCUUUCUCAAGAAUGAUGAGCCCAAAGGCAUCGCAUAACAAUUGUGAUCUCCCAGCUGGACGUUUCCUGUAGCACAGGUGUUCACAGUGUGGCUCCCAAACCAGCAGCCUCCAUGUCAGUCACUGGGAACUUGUUAGAAAUGCAGAUUCUCAGGCCACCCCAACCAUUAGAUCAGAAACUCUGGGGAUGGGGCCCCACAAUCUGUGUUUUCUUUUCUUUCUUUCUUUCUUUUUUUUUUUUUUUGAGACAGGGUCUCACUGUGUCAUCCAGGCUGGAGUGCAGUGGCAUGAAAAUGGCUCACUGCAGCCUCAACCUCCUGGGCUCAAGUGACCCUCCCACCUCAGCCUCCUGAGUAGCUGGGACUACAGGCCUGUACCACCAUGACCGACUGAUUUCGUUUUUUAAUUUUUUAUAGAAACAGGGUCUCGCCAUAUUGUCAUGGCUGGUCUUGAACUCCUGGG
rnacentral:lncRNA from 1 species